UCCGAUAUGGUGUAGUGGCCAACAUGAUGCCCUCUCAUCUCAUGAGAGGUUAGGCAUAGCCCCGAGUUCGAUUCUCGGUUUCGGAA
rfam:Colletotrichum fioriniae PJ7 Scaffold_24.1, whole genome shotgun sequence.